rnacentral:rRNA from 1 species
GACGAACGCUGGCGGCGUGCUUAACACAUGCAAGUCGAACGGAAAGGCCCUGCUUGCAGGGUGCUCGAGUGGCGAACGGGUGAGUAACACGUGGGUGAUCUGCCCCUUACUUUGGGAUAAGCCUGGGAAACUGGGUCUAAUACUGGAUAGGACCAUGCUGUAGGUGGUGUGGUGGAAAGAUUAGUUUCGGUAAGGGAUGAGCUCGCGGCCUAUCAGCUUGUUGGUGGGGUAAUGGCCUACCAAGGCGUCGACGGGUAGCCGGCCUGAGAGGGUGGACGGCCACAUUGGGACGGGGAUACGGCCCAGACUCCUAGGGGGGGAAGCAGUGGGGAAUAUUGCAAAAGGGGCGAAACCCUGAUGGAGCGACGCCGGGGGGGGGAUGACGGCCUUCGGGUUGUAAACCCCUUUCAGCCAUGACAAAGCCCUUGGGGUGACGGUAGGGGUAGAAGAAGCACCGGCUAACUACGU